GGAGGCAGCACAAGUGGAAUAUUGCACAAUGGGCGCAAGCCUGAUGCAGCCAUGCCGCGUGUAUGAAGAAGGCCUUCGGGUUGUAAAGUACUUUCAGCGGGGAGGAAGGUGGUGAGGUUAAUAACCUCAGCAAUUGACGUUACCCGCAGAAGAAGCACCGGCUAACUCCGUGCCAGCAGCCGCGGUAAUACGGAGGGUGCAAGCGUUAAUCGGAAUUACUGGGCGUAAAGCGCACGCAGGCGGUCUGUUAAGUCAGAUGUGAAAUCCCCGGGCUUAACCUGGGAACUGCAUUUGAAACUGGCAGGCUUGAGUCUCGUAGAGGGGGGUAGAAUUCCAGGUGUAGCGGUGAAAUGCGUAGAGAUCUGGAGGAAUACCGGUGGCGAAGGCGGCCCCCUGGACGAAGACUGACGCUCAGGUGCGAAAGCGUGGGGA
rnacentral:rRNA from 1 species